CCUACGGGCGGCAGCAGCAAGGAAUUUUCCGCAAUGGGUGCAAGCCUGACGGAGCAACGCCGCGUGCGGGAUGACGCCUUUCGGGGUGUAAACCGCUGUUCGUGGGGACGAAGCACUGACGGUACCCACGGAGGAAGGCCCGGCUAACUACGUGCCAGCAGCCGCGGUAAUACGUAGGGGCCGAGCGUUGUCCGGAGUUACUGGGCGUAAAGGGUGCGCAGGCGGCCUGCAUAGCCCGGCGUGAAAGCCCCCGGCUCAACCGGGGAGGGUCGUCGGGGACGUGCAGGCUUGAGGGUGUCAGGGGCUGGUGGAAUUCCCGGUGUAGUGGUGAAAUGCGUAGAGAUCGGGAGGAACACCCGUGGCGAAGGCGGCCAGCUGGGGCACACCUGACGCUGAGGCACGAAGGCGUGGGGAGCGAACGGGAUUAGAUACCCUUGUAG
rnacentral:rRNA from 1 species